rnacentral:rRNA from 1 species
GGGCUCACACAAGCGGUGGAGCAUGUUGUUUAAUUCGAUGCAACGCGAAGAACCUUACCUGGGCUUGACAUUCAUGUGGUACCAAACCGAAAGGGGCGGGACCGUCUUUUGGCGGAGCAUGAACAGGUAUUGCAUGGCUGUCGUCAGCUCGUGUCGUGAGAUGUUGGGUUAAGUCCCGUAACGAGCGCAACCCUUAUCCUUAGUUGCCAGCACAUAAUGGUGGGGACUCUAGGGAGACUGCCGGUGUCAAACCGGAGGAAGGCGGGGACGACGUCAAGUCAUCAUGGUCCUUACGCCCAGGGCCACAAACGUGCUACAAUGGUCGGUACAAUGAGCAGCAAAGCCGUGAGGUGGAGCAAAUCUCAAAAAGCCGGCCCCAGUUCGGAUUGAAGGCUGCAAUUCGCCUUCAUGAAGUCGGAAUCGCUAGUAA